GAUGAACGCUGGCGGCGUGCCUAAUACAUGCAAGUCGAGCGAACGGACGAGAAGCUUGCUUCUCUGAUGUUAGCGGCGGACGGGUGAGUAACACGUGGAUAACCUACCUAUAAGUCUGGGAUAACUUCGGGAAACCGGAGCUAAUACCGGAUAAUAUUUUGAACCGCAUGGUUCAAAAGUGAAAGACGGUCUUGCUGUCACUUAUAGAUGGAUACGCGCUGCAUUAGCUAGUUGGUAAGGUAACGGCUUACCAAGGCAACGAUGCAUAGCCGACCUGAGAGGGUGAUCGGCCACACUGGAACUGAGACACGGUCCAGACUCCUACGGGAGGCAGCAGUAGGGAAUCUUCCGCAAUGGGCGAAAGCCUGACGGAGCAACGCCGCGUGAGUGAUGAAGGUCUUCGGAUCGUAAAACUCUGUUAUUAGGGAAGAACAUAUGUGUAAGUAACUGUGCACAUCUUGACGGUACCUAAUCAGAAAGCCACGGCUAACUACGUG
rnacentral:rRNA from 1 species